UUCAGAUUAGACAAAACAGAACUUCCUUUCUCACUUUAAUUUGUUGCAAGUUUAUGUCUCAUUAAUCAAAGUUCAGCAUGAGGGCUUCUGCAGUGUUUAGUUUCUUUUUGUUCAAAUUUACAGCUGAAGUAUAAAUUGUUCCAGGAGAAGGACAAUCAACUGUAGGCCAUACGGGUGAACUUUGCAUUUGGGAUGUGUAGUAGGCAAUUUAGGAGAAUCAAUUCUACAGUGGCUUUUAGAGGUGGCUCCAUCGAUUUCUCUAAAUAUAACAUUUAGCUUCAUGCAAAACUUACUUUUAUACUCAAAUCGACAGGAUAUUCUGAUACCAUUUUUGUAAAGUUUGAAUUUGUAUGAAUUAUUAAUCUAAUAACUAAAAGCAGAGUU
rnacentral:lncRNA from 1 species